rnacentral:rRNA from 1 species
UACGGAGGGUGCGAGCGUUAUCCGGAAUUACUGGGUUUAAAGGGUGCGUAGGCGGCUGUGUAAGUCAGGAGUGAAAGUUUGCGGCUCAACCGUAAAAUUGCUUUUGAUACUGCACGGCUGGAAUCAGGAUGAGGUCAGCGGAAUGUGGCAUGUAGCGGUGAAAUGCAUAGAUAUGCCAUAGAACACCAAUUGCGAAGGCAGCUGGCUAGACCUGUAUUGACGCUGAGGCACGAAAGCGUGGGGAGCGAACAGG